AAUCUGGGCUACAGGGUGAGCCCCUGUCUUUAGGUUAUCUAAAUAUUUAACUUUUUGCACCUCCAGAUACCCUGUUAUUUUUCUUAGUGUACGUGUGUUUCUUAUUUCAGCUAUGUGCUUGUGGUAGUGUGACACACCUGGAAGAUGAAACCGGGUAGCUAAAAAUAUAAUUGGAAAAAAAAUGAAGAAAUAACACAGUUUCAAGGCACCACAUGUUUUAAAUUUUUCUGCAAAAACGACUAAUGGGAGAAGACUUUUUAUUGCAGAGAAUCGAGUAUUUGAAGAGUAAGUGAGAAGAGAAGGACCAUCCAGUAACCAAGUAAUUAGCAAGGAGGAAAAACGGUGUGCCAGAUAUGUGUGUCGGUGUCUUAUGAUCUAUCAUUGAUUAAGAACAAAGAGAAGACCUUAAAGGAAGACACACCUUCCAGAGCUCGAUGACUCACAUUUCGGAGGCUGUGUACAAACAUAUAGAGAAAGGACUCGUGUUAUUCAAGCAGAACAAAGGAUCAGAAAACAAGAGUCAGUAAAAAUGAUCCAUAGCAAGGUAUAGAAGGAUACUUGGUGGUAUGUUAGUUUCACCAGUUCACAAAGACAAACUAUAAUGAAAUGGGAACAUAAAAAAUGGAGAAUAGAGUGAUAAGAAAAUUGUUGCUCUCUUAUUUUUUUCCACUAAAAUGUUAGGUUAAUUUAAAACAGUAAACUGAACAUUCCAUAAGCACAAACCAAUGUUUUAAAUUUAACAAUGUAAGAACAAAACAAGUAGAAUAGUCAGAUAUAAGAUAGGAAACAGCUGAGACUAUUAAUGGAUUAA